rnacentral:rRNA from 1 species
GACGAACGCUGGCGGCGUGCUUAACACAUGCAAGUCGAACGGAAAGGCCCUGCUUUUGUGGGGUGCUCGAGUGGCGAACGGGUGAGUAACACGUGAGUAACCUGCCCUUGACUUUGGGAUAACUUCAGGAAACUGGGGCUAAUACCGGAUAGGAGCUCCUGCUGCAUGGUGGGGGUUGGAAAGUUUCGGCGGUUGGGGAUGGACUCGCGGCUUAUCAGCUUGUUGGUGGGGUAGUGGCUUACCAAGGGUUUGACGGGUAGCCGGCCUGAGAGGGUGACCGGCCACAAUGGGACUGAGAUACGGCCCAGACUCCUACGGGAGGCAGAAGUGGGGAAUAUUGCACAAUGGGCGGGAGCCUGAUGCAGCAAUGCCGGGUGCGGGAUGAAGGCCUUCGGGUUGUAAACCGCUUUCGCCUGUGACGAAGCGUGAGUGACGGUAAUGGGUAAAGAAGCACCGGCUAACUACGUG